rnacentral:rRNA from 1 species
AUGUUUGCAUUGGGAGAACACAUUAACUGAGUUAGCAGCUUUCCCAGUGCCCAGGUAGGUAGGCACCAAAACUAUGAUUUAAGCAAAGAGCAAUCAAUGGUUUGUACGAUUUAAGCUUUCCAUUUUUUGGUAGGAUUAGGAAGGGCAGAUUUAAAUAUAGGUUAAAGGAUAAUGAUAUAGAUUGCAAAAUGGAUUCCAUUACAA